GCGGAGGGCCGGAUGGCCGCUUGCGGCGAUGUCUUCGGGUGUCGCCGUGGGAGGAAAGUCCGGACUCCACAAAACAACGGUGCCGGGUAACGCCCGGCUGGGGGAACCCAAGGGAAAGCGCCACAGAAAACAAACCGCUUUUGUGCUUUGCUUUGGUGAGGCGCAGGAGUCAGGGUGAAACGGUGGGGUAAGAGCCCACCGCGGGGCUGGCAACAGCACCGGCACGGCAAGCCCCACCGGGAGCAAUGCCAAAUAGGGACCGCACGCGAACAGGUCGGGUAACCGAAACCAGUCGCAAGGCAUGUUUUGGCCCGGCGGUCCGGGUUGGCAGCUAGAGGGGCGGUGGUAACACCGUCUUUAGAUGAAUGGCCAUCCAGCCCCGAAUUACGGUCCGGGGUGGACAGAAUCCGGCUUAUAGGCCCUCCGCGCAA
rnacentral:RNase_P_RNA from 1 species